rnacentral:tRNA from 1 species
GCGCCCGUAGCUCAAUUGGAUAGAGCGGGGGACUCCUAAGCCUCAGGCUGGCCGUUCGAAUCGGCCCGGGCGCA